AUACGUAGGGGGCGAGCGUUGUCCGGAAUGACUGGGCGUAAAGGGCGUGUAGGCGGCGGUGUAAGUCUGGAGUGAAAGUCCCGCAUUCAAUGUGGGAAUUGCUUUGGAUACUGCAGUGCUAGAGUGCGGAAGAGGUAAGUGGAAUUCCCAGUGUAGCGGUGAAAUGCGUAGAGAUUGGGAGGAACACCAGUGGCGAAGGCGACUUACUGGGCCGCAACUGACGCUGAGGUGCGAAAGCGUGGGGAGCGAACAGGAUUAGAUACCCUGGUAGUCCACGCGGUAAACGAUGAAUGCUAGGUGUUGCGGGUAUCGACCCCUGCAGUGCCGGAGUAAACACAAUAAGCAUUCCGCCUGGGGAGUACGGCCGCAAGGUUGAAACUCAAAUGAAUUGGCGGGG
rnacentral:rRNA from 1 species